rnacentral:rRNA from 1 species
AGAGUUUGAUCCUGGCUCAGGAUGAACGCUAGCGGCAGGCUUAACACAUGCAAGUCGAGGGGUAACGAUGGUUUCGGCCAGGCGACGACCGGCGCACGGGUGAGUAACGCGUAUGCAACCUACCUUUAACAGGGGGAUAGCCCGAAGAAAUUCGGAUUAAUACCCCAUAAUAUUAUUUAGUUACCUGACUAGAUAAUUAAAGCUUCGGCGGUUUUAGAUGGGCAUGCGUGACAUUAGCUAGAUGGUAAGGUAACGGCUUACCAUGGCUACGAUGUCUAGGGGGUCUGAGAGGAUGGUCCCCCACACUGGUACUGAGACACGGACCAGACUCCUACGGGAGGCAGCAGUGAGGAAUAUUGGGCAAUGGACGCAAGUCUGACCCAGCCAUGCCGCGUGCAGGAUGACGGCCCUAUGGGUUGUAAACUGCUUUUAUAUGGGAAGAAACCUUCUUACGUGUAAGGAGCUGACGGUACCAUAAGAAUAAGCAUCGGCUAACUCCGUGCCAGCAGCCGCGGUAAUACGGAGGAUGCAGGCGUUAUCCGGAUUUAUUGGGUUUAAAGGGUGCGUAGGCGGGCUAAUAAGUCAGUGGUGAAAUCCUUCAGCUUAACUGAAGAACUGCCAUUGAUACUGUUAGCCUUGAGUACAGUUGAGGUAGGCGGAAUGUGUCAUGUAGCGGUGAAAUGCUUAGAUAUGACACAGAACACCGAUUGCGAAGGCAGCUUACUAAACUGUUACUGACGCUCAUGCACGAAAGCGUGGGGAGCGAACAGGAUUAGAUACCCUGGUAGUCCACGCCGUAAACGAUGAUCACUCGCUGUUAGCAAUACACAGUUAGCGGCUAAGCGAAAGCAUUAAGUGAUCCACCUGGGGAGUACGGUCGCAAGAUUGAAACUCAAAGGAAUUGACGGGGGCCCGCACAAGCGGAGGAACAUGUGGUUUAAUUCGAUGAUACGCGAGGAACCUUACCUGGGCUUAAAUGUGUUUUGAUUUUACCGGAAACGGUAUUUCUCUUCGGAGCGAAAUACAAGGUGCUGCAUGGUUGUCGUCAGCUCGUGCCGUGAGGUGUCGGGUUAAGUCCCAUAACGAGCGCAACCCUCAUCCUUAGUUGCCAGCGGAUAAUGCCGGGGACUCUAAGGAGACUGCCAGUGUAAACUGUGAGGAAGGUGAGGAUGACGUCAAAUCAGCACGGCCCUUAUGUCCAGGGCUACACACGUGUUACAAUGGUCGGUACAGAGGGCAGCUACUAUGUGAAUAGAUGCUAAUCUCUAAAGCCGAUCUCAGUUCGGAUCGAAGUCUGCAACUCGACUUCGUGAAGUUGGGUUCGCUAGUAAUCGGAUAUCAGCCAUGAUCCGGUGAAUACGUUCCCGGGCCUUGUACACACCGCCCGUCAAACCAUGGAAGUUGGGGGUGCCUGAAGUCUGUUACCGCAAGGAACGGCCUAGGGUAAAACCGAUAACUGGGGUUAAGUCGGAACAAGGUA